rnacentral:rRNA from 1 species
AUACGGAGGAUGCGAGCGUUAUCCGGAUUUAUUGGGUUUAAAGGGAGCGUAGGCGGGAGCUUAAGUCAGCGGUUAAAUGGUGCGGCUCAACCGUGCCCUGCCGGUGAAACUGGGUUUCUUGAGAGUGCAAGAGGCGGAUGGAAUUCAUGGUGUAGCGGUGAAAUGCUUAGAUAUCAUGAAGGACUCCGAUUGCGAAGGCAGUCCGCUGGGGCACGUCUGUCGCUGAUGCUCGAAGGUGCGGGAAUCAAACAGGAUUAGAUACCCUGGUAGUCCGCACGGUAAACGAUGAUUACCCGCUGUCGGCGGUAGACAGUCGGCGGCCAAGCGAAAGCGAUAAGUAAUCCACCUGGGGAGUACGCCGGCAACGGUGAAACUCAAAGGAAUUGACGGGG